rnacentral:rRNA from 1 species
CGAACGGGUGAGUAACGCGUGGGUGAUCUGCCCUUUGGCGGGGAUAACCCGGGGAAACCCGGGCUAAUACCGCAUAAGCCUGCAUUUGUAAGCGAGUGCAGGGAAAGUUUUCGGAUACCGAAGGAGGAGCCCGCGUCCGAUUAGCUAGUUGGUGAGGUAAGAGCUCACCAAGGCGACGAUCAGUAGCUGGUCCGAGAGGAUGAUCAGCCACACUGGGACUGAGACACGGCCCAG